rnacentral:rRNA from 1 species
CAGGCCUAACACAUGCAAGUCCAACGUGAAAGGGGAGCAAUCCCCCGGUAGGGUGGCAAACGGGUGAGUAAUACAUGGGUGAUCUACCUUAGGGAUGGGGAUAUCCUUCCGAAAGGAGGGGCAAUACCGAAUAUUGUCCGGAGCCGUGAAGGGUUCCGGGGAAAGGGAGGCCUCUGAUACAAGCUUUCGCCUUAAGAUGAGCCCAUGGCCCAUCAGCUAGUUGGUAGGGUAAAGGCCUACCAAGGCUACGACGGGUCGCUGGUCUGAGAGGACGACCAGCCACACUGGCACUGAGAUACGGGCCAGACUCCUACGGGAGGCAGCAGUGAGGAAUAUUGCGCAAUGGGGGAAACCCUGACGCAGCAACGCCGCGUGUGGGAAGAAGGCCUUCGGGUCGUAAACCACUUUUGCACGGGACGAAAAAGGGAUAUCGAACAAAUAUCCCCGAUGACGGUACCGUGAGAAUAAGCCCCGGCUAACUCCGUGCCAGCAGCCGCGGUAAUACGGAGGGGGCUAGCGUUGUUCGGAAUUACUGGGCGUAAAGAGUCUGUAGGUGGUUUGUCAAGUCUUUGGUGAAAGGCCGUAGCUUAACUAUGGGAAUGCCAAAGAGACUGGCAGGCUGGAGGCUGGGAGAGGGAAGCGGAAUUUCUGGUGUAGCGGUGAAAUGCGUAGAUAUCAGAAGGAAGGCCGGUGGCGAAGGCGGCUUCCCUGGAACAGUCCUGACACUGGGAGACGAAAGCGUGGGGGAGCAAACAGGAUUAGAUACCCUGGUAGUCCACGCCCUAAACGAUGGGUACUAAGUGUGGAGGGGUUAAACCCUCCGUGCCGCAGCAAACGCAGUAGUACCCCGCCUGGGGAGUACGGCCGCAGGUUGAACCUCAAGGAUUUGACGGGGUCCGCACAAGCGGUUG